rnacentral:rRNA from 2 species
AUUGAACGCUGGCGGUAUGCUUAAGACAUGCAAGUCGAACGGAAUCUUCGGAUUCAGUGGCGGACGGGUGAGUAACACGUGGGAAUCUACUGAGUAGUGGGGGACAGCCCGGCGAAAGCCGGAUUAAUACCGCAUACGCCCUACGGGGGAAAGGCGCAAGCCGCUAUUUAAUGAGCCCGCGUAAGAUUAGCUAGUUGGUGAGGUAAAGGCCCACCAAGGCAACGAUCUUUAGCUGGUCUGAGAGGAUGGCCAGCCACAUCGGGACUGAGACACGGCCCGGACUCCUACGGGAGGCAGCAGUCGGGAAUAUUGGACAAUGGGCGCAAGCCUGAUCCAGCAAUACCGCGUGUGUGAAGAAGGCCUGCGGGUUGUAAAGCACUUUCAGUUGGGAAGAUAAUGACGUUACCAACAGAAGAAGCACCGGCUAACUCCGUG